rnacentral:rRNA from 1 species
UACGGAGGGUGCAAGCGUUGUCCGGAUUUAUUGGGUUUAAAGGGUGCGUAGGCGGCCCUGUAAGUCCGUGGUGAAAGCCAACAGCUCAACUGUUGAACUGCCAUGGAUACUGCAGGGCUUGAGUACAGACGAGGUAGGCGGAAUUGAAGAUGUAGCGGUGAAAUGCUUAGAUAUCUUCAAGAACACCGAUUGCGUAGGCAGCUUACUAGGCUGUAACUGACGCUGAGGCACGAAAGCGUGGGGAGCGAACAGG